CAGGGAGACAAAACUGAUUUUGAUGCUUAAUUAAUUUAAUUUAGGCCAAAAUCCUGUCACCUUAGGUCGAUCGGUACCUCAGUUUGAUGCUUAAAAAGCUAAGAAAUUAGUUUUUGAAAGUUAUUGAAUUCAGUUCCUAAACUUUUGUCUAGGUCACACCCAACAAGGGUACUCCUGGGCCAUUAGCUCAGGUGGUUAGAGCGCACCCCUGAUAAGGGUGAGGUCCCUGGUUCAAGUCCAGGAUGGCCCAUUCGGUGUUGGGGGUAUAGCUCAGUUGGUAGAGCGCCUGCUUUGCAAGCAGGAUGUCAGCGGUUCGAGUCCGCUUACCUCCACUGAUCCAACUCCUGAUAACGAAAGCUUAAGGAGUUUUUGUUCGAUGUGAUCUAGAAUUUGUUCUCAAUGAAAGAACCUAGCUUCUUGUCAUUCCAUAAAAUUAUUUUUAUUUUUGGCUGACAUGACGCUGGGCUCGCUGCAAUGCAAAUUGCAUGCUUGUUCAGUAGAACCUUGACAACUGCAUAGGUAAGUCUGGAAAGAAUAAAGCAUCUCAUGGAUGCAUUAUUCUUUGAUUCAAACUAAGUUUCCAAAUGAGAUUCAUAGUUUGGUUCGAAGUUAUAAUGUUUAAUUCUUGAGCAAGAGCCGAGACUCUAUAACGUUCUUUUAUUGUAUUUUUUGCAAUAAGAGUUAGAUUUUUAAUUUCUUUCUGAAGUAUAAUUAUUAAGAAUUUUUCUAAAUUGUUGUACUAUCUGAUUGAAAUUAAAUAGAAAAGUGUUGACAACACAUGGCGUUAUAGAGGUUUAUAU
rnacentral:tRNA from 1 species